GUCUCUGUUUUCCUUUUUUUUUUCAGAAGAAAGUGUGAACAGUUUUCUGGAAAAAAAAGACCGGAAAACGAACUCGGCACCGCGACGCGGAACGAGUCAAUCCCGAGUCGGCGGCACUCGUCGAUCACUUCAAUCUCGAUCGUCUGAUCAUCAAUAUCUCUCUGAUCGUGAGUUAAAGAAAAAAGAAAACAAUUGAAAUAUUAAUUGACAAAUUUUAUCAAAUUGAUUGAUUAAUAAGGGUUACUUAUUUUUUUUUUUAAUUGGAUAGGAUCCAAGUCGGUUUUCGGUGAUUUUCUUUGUAUGUUUUGGAGGGUUUUUUUAGUACUCUAUUUUUUUAAAAAAAAUUUUGUGUUUUAAAUUUUGGUGAUGUUGGAUUUUCG
rnacentral:lncRNA from 1 species